AACAGAUUCCCAUGUUUCCUCAUACUCUGUAUGUAUCAUAUCCUGACUCCUCCUCAAGACAAAUUCUGGAUGCAAGAAAUUCCAUCUUUAAGCUAUGUCCUUGUAGUUGGCACCCACCAAGUUCUGGAACCACAGUCAACUUGAUUCCAGUGCUUCCACGGUCUCUAUGUCCGCAUUUCAGCAAGCAGCCCCCCACUCCUGGAUCCUCCACAUGCUGUUACGACUUCUCUCUUCCAAGAACGUUCCUGACUGGCUACCAUCUACCCAUCCAGGACUCAGAUCAGUCGCUGACUCCUCUUUGCAGUCUCUCCAAUUUCUCCUGACAAGGAGUGUCUCAGAGUCAAAGAUAUGCUUGGGGGGGAGGGGGACAAACCAGUUCUGCCAGUUAUUAGUGGUAUAACUCCUGUUCACAGGAUGACCCCAGUUUUCUCCUUUGUAAAAUAAGCAUAUAAACAUGUGUGUGUCACUGUCAGCUGCCUCUCAGGGUUCUUUGUGUGUGUGUGUGUGUGUGUGUGUGUGUGCGGUGUUCAAUCACUACAAAGUUAAAUGUUUAGCACAGUGCCUGGCACAAAGAAUCCACCAACAGCUGCUGUAAUCAUUAUCACUUGUUCUCCCAGAACACUUUGUCAUGAUUCUCUAAUAGUGUUUAUCAAAUCAUGUAAUAAUUGUUUGCUUGUCAAUCUCCUACCUGGAUAAGCUCUGCUCAGCUCUGUGUCUCCAAUAACCAGAAGGGGUCUGGCACCUAAUAUGUAAUAAAUGCUUAUAUUUUUAAUUAAUA